rnacentral:lncRNA from 1 species
AACCGAUACCCCUCUGUAACGGCUCCAAACUGCUCGGCGCUAGGAUCCAGAUCGGCUUAAGGCCGCCUAGACCCGUAGCAAGCCUGCUACUGAACUCUGGGUACCUGCUUAAUCCCAUAUAUGAGCUAACUAAACACUAGCUUUGAAAACCUUUUCUGUAAAACUACCAGGCUUAACCUUAAAAUCACAGCCGUCAAGGCCUACACCAGUGAUCUACUACUAAACUGAAAACAUAGAACCCACUCUCUUAGGGUCAACAUAUAACAGGCUAGCCUUACUUUCCUUUAUGGGUCAAGGGAUUUUAUACCCCUUUCUUCCCUCUCAGAUGGGUCAAGGGGUUUUAUACCCUUUCUUCCCUGAUCACUGGAGUUUUAGAAACACAUCAUAUGUUAAGCCUAGCUUGACACAUUUCUCAUCAAGAAACGGAAAACAGGACACAUGCAUACACUAGGGAUUCAGCACACACUGGGCAAAGCACAACUCUAGACAUUAUCUCAUUAUACUCUAUCUCUUUACCACAAGCUCUUUCCAUGCAUAACCUGUAUACACAUCAUGUCCAUACAUCAUGUCC